GCACCGUGUGGCGCGCAGCGGUGUGUUUGCGGCGCUUCUCCUGCUCAUAACGGAUGUUGCGCCCCGGUUUCCUAAACCGCCAGGCAAGUUCGAUUCUUGCCCGGGGCA
rnacentral:tRNA from 1 species